rnacentral:rRNA from 1 species
GAUGAACGCUGGCGGUCUGCUUAACACAUGCAAGUCGAACGGACUCUUCGGAGUUAGUGGCGGACGUGUGAGUAACGCGUGAGAAUCUGCCUCUAGGACUGGGACAACAGAAGGAAACUUCUGCUAAUCCCGGAUGAGCCGCAAGGUGAAGGAUUUAUCGCCUAGAGAUGAGCUCGCGUCUGAUUAGCUAGUUGGUAAGGUAAGAGCUUACCAAGGCAACGAUCAGUAGCUGGUCUGAGAGGAUGAUCAGCCACACUGGGACUGAGACACGGCCCAGACUCCUACGGGAGGCAGCAGUGGGGAAUUUUCCGCAAUGGGCGCAAGCCUGACGGAGCAAGACCGCGUGGGGGAGGAAGGCUCUUGGGUUGUAAACCCCUUUUCUCAGGGAAGAACCAAAUGACGGUACCUGAGGAAUCAGCCUCGGCUAACUCCGUGCCAGCAGCCGCGGUAAUACGGAGGAGGCAAGCGUUAUCCGGAAUGAUUGGGCGUAAAGCGUUCGUAGGUGGCUAUUCAAGUCUGCUGUCAAAGACAGAAGCUCAACUUCUGAAAGGCAGUGGAAACUGAGUAGCUGGAGUGCGGUAGGGGCAGAGGGAAUUCCCGGUGUAGCGGUGAAAUGCGUAGAGAUCGGGAAGAACACCGGUGGCGAAAGCGCUCUGCUGGGCCGCAACUGACACUGAGGGACGAAAGCUAGGGGAGCGAAUGGGAUUAGAUACCCCAGUAGUCCUAGCUGUAAACGAUGGAGACUAGGUGUUGCCUGUAUCGACCCAGGCAGUGC